rnacentral:rRNA from 1 species
GACGAACGCUGGCGGCGUGCUUAACACAUGCAAGUCGAGCGGAGCGGCGAACGGGUGAGUAACGCGUGAGUAACUGCCCCCCUCUAUGGGAUAACAGUUGGAAAAGGCUGCUAAUAACGGAUAGUGGGGGAUGACUCGCGUCCUAUCAGCUUGUGGGUAGGGUAGUGGCCUACCACGGAGACGACGGGUAGCCGGCCGGAGCGGGCGACCGGCCACAUUGGGCUGAGCUACGGCCAAAACUCCUACUGGAGGCAGCAGUGGGGAAUAUUGCACAAUGGGGGAAACCCGGAUGCAGCAACGCCGCGUGCGGGAUGACGGCCUUCGGGUUGUAAACCGCUUUCAGCCAUGACGCGGUAGUGGCAGAAGAAGCACCGGCUAACUACGUGCCAGCAGCCGCGGUAAUUC